AAUAUUGGACAAUGGGGGCAACCCGGAUCCAGCCUUGCCGCUAGUUUGAAGAAGGUCUUCGGAUUGUAAAGCACUUUAAGUUGGGAGGAAGGGCUUUAGGCUAAUACCCUGAAGUUUUGACGUUACCAACAGAAUAAGAACCGGCUAAUCCUGUGCCAGCAGCCGCGGUAAUACAGAGGGUGCAACCGUUAAUCGGAAUUACUGGGCCUAAAGCGCGCGUAGGUGGUUCAGUAAGAUAGGUGUGAAAUCCCCGGGCUUAACCUGGGAACUGCUUUCAUAACUGCUGAGCUAGAGUACGGUAGAGGGUAGUGGAAUUUCCUGUGUAGCGGUGAAAUGCGUAGAUAUAGGAAGGAACACCAGUGGCGAAGGCGACUACCUGGACUGAUACUGACACUGAGGUGCGAAAGCGUGGGGAGCAAACA
rnacentral:rRNA from 1 species